UGGAGACACACAUUGACUUUGAGAGACUAUUAGAAGAAUUAGGAUCAGAAGCAACCAAUCUUCCUGAUAUAUCACAAGGUUGGUCUGAUAGUUUGAGACAAGCAAUAGAUCAUGAAGCAAUGAGUCUGUCUCAGUCUCCAGAGACGUUUGGUACAUGGCUACUGAUUAAUAAACUAAAAGAAACAAAUGAUGAUAAGGUGAUUAAUGAGGUAAUUAGUGUGGGUGUAGUAUUACGAGAUUUGAUGUAUAUUAAUUAUCAAAAUUUAA